rnacentral:tRNA from 1 species
GGAGAUAGCUUAGUGGUAGAGUGCCUGCCUAGCAUGGAGAAGGUCCUGGGUUCAAUCCCUAGUAUCUCCA